rnacentral:rRNA from 1 species
CGGGAGGCAGCAGUGGGGAAUAUUGGACAAUGGGCGAAAGCCUGAUCCAGCAAUGCCGCGUGAGUGAUGAAGGCCUUAGGGUUGUAAAGCUCUUUUACCCGGGAAGAUAAUGACUGUACCGGGAGAAUAAGCCCCGGCUAACUCCGUGCCAGCAGCCGCGGUAAUACGGAGGGGGCUAGCGUUGUUCGGAAUUACUGGGCGUAAAGCGCACGUAGGCGGCUAUUCAAGUCAGAGGUGAAAGCCUGGAGCUUAACUCCAGAACUGCCUUUGAAACUAGAUAGCUAGAAUCAUGGAGAGGUGAGUGGAAUUCCGAGUGUAGAGGUGAAAUUCGUAGAUAUUCGGAAGAACACCAGUGGCGAAGGCGGCUCACUGGACAUGUAUUGACGCUGAGGUGCGAAAGCGUGGGGAGCAAACAGGAUUAGAUACCCGAGU